rnacentral:rRNA from 1 species
CCUACGGGAGGCAGCAGUAGGGAAUCUUCCACAAUGGGCGAAAGCCUGAUGAAGCAACGCCGCGUGGGUGAAGAAGGUCUUCGGAUCGUAAAACCCUGUUGUUAGAGAAGAAAGUGCGUGAGAGUAACUGUUCACGUUUCGACGGUAUCUAAACAGAAAGCCACGGCUAACUACGUGCCAGCAGCCGCGGUAAUACGUAGGUGGCACGUGUUAUCCGGUUUUAUUGGGCGUCAAGGGAACGCCGGCGGUCUUUUAAGUCUGAUGGGAAUGCCUUCGGCUUACCCGGAGU